UCCCAGGGAUUCCUAAUGUCUGAGGGUUC
rnacentral:piRNA from 1 species